GAAACAHGGVGUCAWUAGAGGGUGAGAAUCCCSUAUGUGACUGUGGAUCGAGCCCAUGUGAAGCCUCUUCGAUGAGUCGAGUUGUUUKGGAAUGCAGCUCAAAAUGGGUGGUAAAUUUCAUCUAAAAGCUAAAUACUGGCUGGAGACCGAUAGCGCACAAGUAGAGUGAUCGAAAGAUGAAAAGCACUUUGGAAAGAGAGUCAAACAGUACGUGAAAUUGUUGAAAGGGAAGCGCUUGCAACCAGACCUGUCCGUAGGUGAUCAGCCGCUGUUCUCAGUGGUGCACUCGCUCUGCGAUCAGGCCAGCAUCGGUUCGGGCGGUCGGAUAAAGGCCUUGGGAAUGUAGCUCCCUUCGGGGAGUCUUAUAGCCCUCGGUGUAAUGCGGCCAGCCGGGACCGAGGACCGCGCUUCGGCUAGGAUGCUGGCGUAAUGGUUGUAAGCGACCCGUCUUGAAACACGGACCAAGGAGUCUAACAUCUAUGCGAGUGUUUGGGUGUUAAACCCACGCGCGGAAUGAAAGUGAACGGAGGUGAGAACCCUUAAGGGCGCAUCAUCGACCGAUCCAGAUGUCUUCGGAUGGAUUUGAGUAUGAGCAUAGCUGUUGGGACCCGAAAAGAAUGGUGAACUAUGCCUGAAUAGGGUGAAUGCCAGAGGAAAACUCUGGUGGAUGGCUGCGGCANGGCGGUUNCUGAA
rnacentral:rRNA from 1 species